rnacentral:rRNA from 1 species
CCCUUAUUGAGUAACAAUUAGAGGGCAAGUCUGGUGCCAGCAGCCGCGGUAAUUCCAGCUCUAAUAGCGUAUAUUAAUACUGUUGCAGUUAAAACGCUCGUAGUUGAACUUAGAAUUAUUACAAGUUAUUUUACUUGAUUGUAAAGUGCUUGCUUAAUUCUUAUCUACUAGAUACUCUAUUCUGUACUUAAUUGUAUGGGAUAUCACCUAGCCAGUGGAACUUUGGUGAAAUAAUGCCUUUUUUAAUACCAGAGUGUAAAAACUUGAAGUGUUAAAUUGGGAUAACAUUAUUUUAUUGAAGUGGGGUUCUAGUUAAUUUACUUUGAGUAAAUUAGAGUGUUCAAAGCAGCCUCUUGGGGCUUUGAAUAGAUUUAGCAUGGGAUAAUAGAAUAGGACUUUGAUAAUCUAUUUGUUGGUUUGAAUUAAUCAAAUAAUGAUUAAUAGGGACAGUUGGGG